UUGGGCAACAACAACUUGUUGCAGAGAGUAGCUCAUAGUGUUCUUCUUUUUUUGUCAAACUCACGUCCUUGGUACAUUAGCAGCAAUACCGUUCCGACAGAUACACCUGUUGCCUUUGUAUCCAAUGCUUUUGCUAAAAAUCAGAACAUGACAGCCCCAGUCAUGCAGCCUCUAGUUAAGUUCAAGUCUAGAUUGGCCCUUCACUUGCCUGAAAACGGUUCACCUGGAUU